rnacentral:tRNA from 1 species
GGGCGGUUAGCUCAGCCGGUUAGAGCGCCUGCCUUACAAGCAGGAGGUCGAUGGUUCGAUCCCGUCACCGCCCACCA